AACGAACGCUGGCGGCAGGCCUAACACAUGCAAGUCGAACGCCGUAGCAAUACGGAGUGGCAGACGGGUGAGUAACGCGUGGGAACCUUCCCUAUGGUUCGGAAUAGCUCAGGGAAACCUGGGGUAAUACCGGAUAAGCCCUUCGGGGGCGAGAUUUAUCGCCAUUGGAUGGGCCCGCGUAGGAUUAGCUGGUUGGUGAGGUAACGGCUCACCAAGGCGACGAUCCUUAGCUGGUCUGAGAGGAUGAUCAGCCACACUGGGACUGAGACACGGCCCAGACUCCUACGGGAGGCAGCAGUGGGGAAUAUUGGACAAUGGGCGAAAGCCUGAUCCAGCCAUGCCGCGUGAGUGACGAAGGCCUUAGGGUUGUAAAGCUCUUUUGGCGGGGAAGAUAAUGACGGUACCCGCAGAAUAAGCUCCGGCUAACUUCGUGCCAGCCGCCGCGGUAAGAC
rnacentral:rRNA from 1 species